GCCCGAGUGGCUCAGUCGGUUAAGCGUCUGACUGCGGCUCAGGUCAUGAUCUCACGGUUCGUGGGUUUGAGCCCACAUCAGGCU
rfam:Felis catus isolate Cinnamon breed Abyssinian chromosome B1, whole genome shotgun sequence.